rnacentral:lncRNA from 1 species
GGGGUGGAGCUCCAAGAGCUGAGCAUGCGCACAAAGGUACAACUUGCCCUUCCGGUCACAGCAAAACCUCGUUAGAAACCCACAAAUACGCAAUGCGUGAAUAAAUACAGUUAGAACAAUGCAUCAGGGGCAGGCGCAUGCUCCAAGCCAAAGUGUGAUGGACCCACCAGCUGCCGGUCAAACAAGUCAAUCCAAGCCCAAUCUGCUCGUACACAAAGCAAAUUUAAGAGGAUGCGGCUAGAGCUUCCGGGGCCGGUUCCACUGUCGCUCCGCAGUGGCCCGAACGGUACGUAGCAGCCCUAUGAGCUAUGCCCCCACUCUGGUGUCGCGUCUCCAUCCUUCCGUGCGUCUGGGUCGAGAACCGAGCGAGCCNGAGCCGGUAACGCAGAGAAACUAGAUGAACUCAUGAAGGGAGGAAGAAACGAUCGGUCAUCUGUCUGCCUCGAUUUGGGCCCCCACAGGCCCUUUACGAUGCAGCAGGCAGAGUGAACGUUGUAAAAAUAUUCGGUUAAAUCUGACACGGUGUUUUCCCGCUUGCAGGUCCCAAGGCUGCUCAGCGAACGCACAGAAUCCAAACGAGCACGAGGCGCCCCNNNNNNNNNNNNNNNNNNNNNCGCUCCGGUCUGUUCUGGGUCUUGCCAGCCACCUCCACCCGGCGCUGCCUCUCCCUAGGUCUUGCCUUGUCCCAGGUCUCACCUCCCGGGUCCCCUGGAUGGAGGGACCCCCUCCGACUCCUCCUGGUUAUGCUGUGUGAUCUCAUCUGUGGUCUUCUUGACAGGGCUUCUCAAAUUCUGCAACUUCCUUGUUUAUUCAAUGAAACAAGCAGACAUCGCUUUAUGGUCUGCCUACCUAUGAGGUGUAAACCUCACUCUGUACAGCUUGUCUAAAAG